CCUACGGGAGGCAGCAGUGGGGGAUAUUGCACAAUGGGGGGAACCCUGAUGCAGCGACGCCGCGUGGGUGAAGGAGCGUUUCGGCGCGUAAAGCCCUAUCGGCAGGGAAGAAGAUGAGUGUACCUGAAGAAAAAGCAUCGGCUAACUCCGUGCCAGCAGCCGCGGUAAUACGGAGGCUGCGAGCGUUAUCCGGAUUUAUUGGGUUUUAAGGGUGCGCAGGCGGUCUGUUAGGUCAGCGGUCAAAGCCCGGGGCUCACCCCCGGCCCGCCGUUGAACCUGGCAGUCUCGAGUUGGAGAGAAGUAUGCGGAAUGCGCGGUGUAGCGGUGAAAUGCAUAGAUAUCGCGCAGAACUCCGAUUGCGAAGGCAGCAUGCCGGCUCCACACUGACGCUGAGGCACGAAAGCGUGGGUAUCGAACAGGAUUAGAUACCCCAGUAGUC
rnacentral:rRNA from 1 species